CCUGGGCCAGCAAAUUUCAAGAUUCCAUUUUUUUUUCUUCUGAGUAGUGUAUUCCUCAUAUAUAUGAAGAGAAACAAACAUUGAGAGUCUCAUCAUACAAGAAAAUGGUACAUUAUACGAAUCUACAUUUUUGGAAAAUCAAGAGUAUUUACUGUUAGAAUAUUGAAGAAUAACAGGAUUGAGGAAAUAUUAAGAGGAAGAAAGCAGCACUCCAGAGAGAUGCUGACCACCAGCCACAAUUGAAGAAAAUGGUAAUGAGUGUAGAGUGGGAAGCAGAAAUAGAAGACACCCUUUCCAAUUCCACAUGAACCCAAUAUAUAGACCCACUUAGUAAGCUGCAGUAAGACUCUGGAAACAUACCUGGAUACCUGCUUUGGAGAGGAAAGAGUGCUGGCUGGCAUCUUACGAAGGAUCUCCAGCUGUGAGACUGGAGUCAGUGAGCUCCCUCUAGUGCUUGAACUGGCUUUUUGGAGCCAAUUCCCUGUGGAGGGAUACCUUGCUCAGCCUGGAUGCCCAGAUCCGGAGGCGCUCUGGUACUGCCCCAAAUAAUGUGAAAU
rnacentral:lncRNA from 1 species